rnacentral:rRNA from 1 species
AACCAACCGGGAUUGCCUCAGUAACGGCGAGUGAAGCGGCAAAAAGCUCAAAUUUGAAAUCUCCGUAAGGCGAGUUGUAAUUUGAAGAGGGUACUUUGGGGCGGCGCCUUGUCUAUGUUCCUUGGAACAGGACGUCACAGAGGGUGAGAAUCCCGUGCGAUGAGGAGAGCCGUUCUAUGUAAAGUUCCUUCGACGAGUCGAGUUGUUUGGGAAUGCAGCUCUAAGUGGGUGGUAAAUUCCAUCUAAAGCUAAAUAUUGGCGAGAGACCGAUAGCGAACAAGUACAGUGAUGGAAAGAUGAAAAGCACUUUGAAAAGAGAGUGAAAAAGUACGUGAAAUUGUUGAAAGGGAAGGGCUUGAGAUCAGACUUGGUGACUCGUCACUGGGCCAGCAUCGGUUCGGGCGGCAGGGAGAAUGCCGUGGGAAAGUGGGCUCUCUUCGGGGAGAGUGUUAUAGCCCGCGGAGAUACUGCCUGCGUGGACCCGAGGACUGCGGCAACUAGGAUGCUGGCAA